rnacentral:rRNA from 1 species
AUUGAACGCUGGCGGCAUGCCUUACACAUGCAAGUCGAACGGCAGCGGGGGAGAAGCUUGCUUUUCCUGCCGGCGAGUGGCGAACGGGUGAGUAAUACAUCGGAACGUGCCCUGUAGUGGGGGAUAACUAGUCGAAAGAUUAGCUAAUACCGCAUACGACCUGAGGGUGAAAGUGGGGGACCGCAAGGCCUCAUGCUAUAGGAGCGGCCGAUGUCUGAUUGGCUAGUUGGUGGGGUAAAGGCCUACCAAGGCGACGAUCAGUAGCUGGUCUGAGAGGACGAUCAGCCACACUGGGACUGAGACACGGCCCAGACUCCUACGGGAGGCAGCAGUGGGGAAUUUUGGACAAUGGGCGAAAGCCUGAUUCAGCAAUGCCGCGUGUGUGAAGAAGGCCUUCGGGUUGUAAAGCACUUUUGUCUGGAAAGAAAUGGCUCUGGUUAAUACCUGGGGUCGAUGACGGUACCGGAAGAAUAAGGACCGGCUAACUACGUGCCAGCCGCCGCCGUAA